rnacentral:rRNA from 1 species
AUUGAACGCUAGCGGCAUGCCUUACACAUGCAAGUCGAACGGUAACAGGCCGCAAGGUGCUGACGAGUGGCGAACGGGUGAGUAAUGCAUCGGAACGUGCCCAGUCGUGGGGGAUAACUGCUCGAAAGAGCAGCUAAUACCGCAUACGAUCUAUGGAUGAAAGCGGGGGACCAUAAGGCCUCGCGCGAUUGGAGCGGCCUAUGACAGGGUAGGUAGUUGGUGGGGUAAAGGCUCACCAAACCAACGAUCUGUAGCUGGUCUGAGACGACGACCAGCCCCACAGGAACGGAGACGCGGCACGGACUACUACGGGACGCAGCAGAGGGGAGGUGUGUAUUAUGGGAUCAGCCCUGAUCCAGCAAAGCCGCGUGGAGGAAGAAAGCAUUCGGGUUUUAAGUGGAUUUUUUACUUAACGAGACGGUAUGGGUGAUAAGCCUGGCCGAAUGCCGGUACCUUAAGAAUAAGGACCGGCUAACUCCGUGCCAGCAGCCGCAGUAAAAC